rnacentral:rRNA from 1 species
CCUACGGGGGGCUGCAGUGGGGAAUAUUGCGCAAUGGGGGAAACCCUGACGCAGCAACGCCGCGUGAGUGAUGAAGGCCUUCGGGUUGUAAAGCUCUGUCGGCAGGGAAGAACGGCUCACAAGCGAAUAGGUUGUGGGAUUGACUGUACCUGCAAAGGAAGCACCGGCUAACUUCGUGCCAGCAGCCGCGGUAAUACGAAGGGUGCAAGCGUUGUUCGGAAUUAUUGGGCGUAAAGGGCGCGUAGGCGGACCUUUAAGUCAGUGGUGAAAUCUUA